rnacentral:tRNA from 1 species
GCAGAUAGAGAUCAGCAGAGGUAGAGCACAUGCUUAGCAUGCAUGAGGGCCUGGGUUCAAUCCCCAGUGCCUCCA